GAGGGUAUAGUUCAAGCAGUAGAGCACAUACUUAGUGUGCAUGAGGUCCUGGGUUCAAUCCCCAGUACCGCCU
rfam:Camelus ferus unplaced genomic scaffold scaffold886, whole genome shotgun sequence.